rnacentral:rRNA from 1 species
UACGGAGGGUGCAAGCGUUAUCCGGAUUCACUGGGUUUAAAGGGUGCGUAGGCGGGUAUGUAAGUCAGCGGUGAAAUCCCCGAGCUUAACUUGGGAACUGCCGUUGAUACUAUAUAUCUUGAAUGUCGUGGAGGCUAGCGGAAUAUGUCAUGUAGCGGUGAAAUGCUUAGAUAUGACAUAGAACACCCAUUGCGAAGGCAGCUAACUACGCGAAUAUUGACGCUGAGGCACGAAAGCGUGGGGAUCAAACAGG